GCUACAUUUAAACUGAGUGAUGGAUGCACUUGCAUGAAGGGGCGAUCCAACCUUAAUGCCUGGUUUUCUUCCCAUAGAUGUAGUGUGUAUCCUUGGUAAGAAGUGAGAUAACUUGGGUGUAACAGAAAAUCUACAGGAUUAUAAAAGGAUACCUGAGGCAAAGAGCCAUGGAUUCCAAAGGCAGCAGAAAGCAAUGGAUCCAGGAAUAGCACAGCAUGGCAUACGGCUAAUGACAAAAUGCAUACAGCACAAAAGGAGCUCUUCAUAGGAGCAAUGGGCAAUGUUGCAGCAAGAGAAGGCUUUCACCUGAAAGCAAAUAAGAUGGUUUUAAAAUUUCUGUUGGAUACUAGUACGCGAGUCAACACUGCCAUCAUGUAAUACCAGCAGAAACAUACAGGACUUCUGUUAAGAGAAAGGUUUGGUGUCCAAUUUUUGAAUAUCAGCAUGAUAUCAGCCAUUCUAACCUCCUGAAACCUUCUAUAACUGUGCUACAACCUCUGGUCCAGAGUUCUCAUUGGCCAACACUUUAAGAUGUGCAGUUUGUUCAGAACAGCAGCCUUUUAUUUGGGAAGGAAGGAUGCCUACACCACCUGCUGAACCAGCAUGGUAUCCUGCAUGCCUUUUACUUCAUUGCCCAUUCAAAAGGGAUAAUGGAGAAGGAGAAAAGGAUGAAGCAGGAUAUGAUGGGGGAACUUAGGAAACCUGAUCUCACUUCCUCACUCACCCAGGUGUCCUCUGUUACACAGCUGCUGCUCCUCUUCCAAAUUCUGCUAAUGAAGAGGACUGAACAAAUCUAUUUGUAUCCUGAUCACAUUCUGCACUGCUGGGGAUUCACCACCACACAGCCUUACUCAGCGUGA
rnacentral:lncRNA from 1 species